CCGAGCAGCGUCCUGGUUUUAAAACCAGACCGGAGGCGCAUCACCCCCCUGCGAACAUGGAGCGUGGUAGGGCUUAAUUUUACCCCUCUCGUCGACUCGUUUUUUUCUGCAGAAAUACUGAAUUCUGUUUAAAAUCCUGCUACCGCAGUAUUGACAUACCGUGGAUCAUCAACGGUGGCAGAAAUUCAUCCGCAACCGCCCUCACAACUGGGUGAAAACUUUCUCGUUAGAGUCACUGCGGAAGAAUUUGAGGACCUGCAUUUCACUCAGAGAGACUUUGAUCUGUUGGAUGCGGCGGAGAGACUCCCGAAGCCUGAAGCAUCCUCGGUUCC